rnacentral:rRNA from 1 species
GUGGGUAGUUUGACUGGGGCGGUCUCCUCCCAAAGAGUAACGGAGGAGCACGAAGGUUGGCUAAUCCUGGUCGGACAUCAGGAGGUUAGUGCAAUGGCAUAAGCCAGCUUGACUGCGAGCGUGACGGCGCGAGCAGGUGCGAAAGCAGGUCAUAGUGAUCCGGUGGUUCUGAAUGGAAGGGCCAUCGCUCAACGGAUAAAAGGUACUCCGGGGAUAACAGGCUGAUACCGCCCAAGAGUUCAUAUCGACGGCGGUGUUUGGCACCUCGAUGUCGGCUCAUCACAUCCUGGGGCUGAAGUAGGUCCCAAGGGUAUGGCUGUUCGCCAUUUAAAGUGGUACGCGAGCUGGGUUUAGAACGUCGUGAGACAGUUCGGUCCCUAUCUGCCGUGGGCGCUGGAGAAUUGAGGGGGGCUGCUCCUAGUACGAGAGGACCGGAGUGGACGCAUCACUGGUGUUCGGGUUGUCAUGCCAAUGGCA